rnacentral:rRNA from 1 species
UUGUAAUUUGGAGAAGGUGCUUCGGGAGCGACGGCGGCUCAAGUCCCUUGGAACGGGGCGUCACAGAGGGUGAGAAUCCCGUACGCGGCCGUCCGUCCAACCCGUGUGAAGCCCUUUCGACGAGUCGGGUUGUUUGGGAAUGCAGCCCUAAGUGGGUGGUAAAUUUCAUCUAAAGCUAAAUACCUGCCAAAGACCGAUAGCGCACAAGUAGAGUGAUCGAAAGGUGAAAAGAACUUUGAAAAGAGAGUUAAACAGUACGUGAAAUUGUUGAAAGGGAAGCGCUUGCAGCCAGACUCGUGCGCGGGGGCUCAGCCGCUCUUCGGCGCGGUGCACUCCCCCGCGGUCGGGCCAGCAUCGGUUUCGGCGGUCGGACAAAGGCUCCGGGAAUGUAGCUCCCUUCGGGGAGCGUUAUAGCCCGGGGUACAAUGCGACCCGCCGGGACCGAGGACCGCGCUUCGGCUAGGAUGCUGGCGUAAUGGUUGCC